GACGAACGCUGGCGGCGUGCUUAACACAUGCAAGUCGAGCGGUAAGGCCCUUUCGGGGGUACACGAGCGGCGAACGGGUGAGUAACACGUGGGUGACCUGCCCUCAGCUCUGGGAUAAGCCUGGGAAACCGGGUCUAAUACUGGAUAUGACUCCAUGACGCAUGUUGUGGGGUGGAAAGCCUUGUGCGGCUGAGGAUGGGCCCGCGGCCUAUCAGCUUGUUGGUGGGGUGAUGGCCUACCAAGGCGACGACGGGUAGCCGGCCUGAGAGGGCGACCGGCCACACUGGGACUGAGACACGGCCCAGACUCCUACGGGAGGCAGCAGUGGGGAAUCUUGCGCAAUGGGCGAAAGCCUGACGCAGCGACGCCGCGUGAGGGAUGACGGCCUGGUGUAACUAC
rnacentral:rRNA from 1 species